GAUGAACGCUGGCGGCGUGCCUAAUACAUGCAAGUCGAGCGAACGGACGAGAAGCUUGCUUCUCUGAUGUUAGCGGCGGACGGGUGAGUAACACGUGGAUAACCUACCUAUAAGACUGGGAUAACUUCGGGAAACCGGAGCUAAUACCGGAUAAUAUUUUGAACCGCAUGGUUCAAAAGUGAAAGACGGUCUUGCUGUCACUUAUAGAUGGAUCCGCGCUGCAUUAGCUAGUUGGUAAGGUAACGGCUUACCAAGGCAACGAUGCAUAGCCGACCUGAGAGGGUGAUCGGCCACACUGGAACUGAGACACGGUCCAGACUCCUACGGGAGGCAGCAGUAGGGAAUCUUCCGCAAUGGGCGAAAGCCUGACGGAGCAACGCCGCGUGAGUGAUGAAGGUCUUCGGAUCGUAAAACUCUGUUAUUAGGGAAGAACAUAUGUGUAAGUAACUGUGCACAUCUUGACGGUACCUAAUCAGAAAGCCACGGCUAACUACGUGCCAGCAGCCGCGGUAAUACGUAGGUGGCAAGCGUUAUCCGGAAUUAUUGGGCGUAAAGCGCGCGUAGGCGGUUUUUUAAGUCUGAUGUGAAAGCCCACGGCUCAACCGUGGAGGGUCAUUGGAAACUGGAAAACUUGAGUGCAGAAGAGGAAAGUGGAAUUCCAUGUGUAGCGGUGAAAUGCGCAGAGAUAUGGAGGAACACCAGUGGCGAAGGCGACUUUCUGGUCUGUAACUGACGCUGAUGUGCGAAAGCGUGGGGAUCAAACAGGAUUAGAUACCCUGGUAGUCCACGCCGUAAACGAUGAGUGCUAAGUGUUAGGGGGUUUCCGCCCCUUAGUGCUGCAGCUAACGCAUUAAGCACUCCGCCUGGGGAGUACGACCGCAAGGUUGAAACUCAAAGGAGUUGACGGGGACCCGCACAAGCGGUGGAGCACGUGGUUUAAUUCGAAGCAACGCGAAGAACCUUACCAAAUCUUGACAUCCUUUGACAACUCUAGAGAUAGAGCUUUCCCCUUCGGGGGACAAAGUGACAGGUGGUGCAUGGUUGUCGUCAGCUCGUGUCGUGAGAUGUUGGGUUAAGUCCCGCAACGAGCGCAACCCUUAAGCUUAGUUGCCAUCAUUAAGUUGGGCACUCUAAGUUGACUGCCGGUGACAAACCGGAGGAAGGUGGGGAUGACGUCAAAUCAUCAUGCCCCUUAUGAUUUGGGCUACACACGUGCUACAAUGGACAAUACAAAGAGCAGCGAAACCGCGAGGUCAAGCAAAUCCCAUAAAGUUGUUCUCAGUUCGGAUUGUAGUCUGCAACUCGACUACACGAAGCUGGAAUCGCUAGUAAUCGUAGAUCAGCAUGCUACGGUGAAUACGUUCCCGGGUCU
rnacentral:rRNA from 1 species